rnacentral:rRNA from 1 species
CCUACGGGAGGCAGCAGUGAGGAAUAUUGGUCAAUGGUCGGGAGACUGAACCAGCCAAGCCGCGUGAGGGAUGAAGGUACAGAGUAUCGUAAACCUCUUUUGUCAGGGAACAAAGUCUGGGACGCGUCCCCGGAUGAGUGUACCUGAAGAAAAAGCAUCGGCUAACUCCGUGCCAGCAGCCGCGGUAAUACGGAGGAUGCGAGCGUUAUCCGGAUUUAUUGGGUUUAAGGGGUGCGCAGGCGGUCUGUUAAGUCAGCGGUAAAAGCCCGGGGCUCAACCCCGCCCCGCCGUUGAAACUGGCAGUCUCGAGUUUGAGAGAGGUAUGCGGAAUGCGCGGUGUAGCGGUGAAAUGCAUAGAUAUCGCGAAGAACUCCGAUUGCGAAGGCAGCAUGCCGGCUCCACACUGACGCUGAGGCACGAAAGCGUGGGUAUCGAACAGGAUUAGAUACCCGAGUAGUC